rnacentral:lncRNA from 1 species
UGAUGGAGUUAAGCGUGCUUGGGCGAGAGUAGUUAAGCGUGCUUGGGCGAGAGUAGUACUAGGAUGGGUGACCCCCUGGGAAGUCCUCGUGUUGCAACCCCCCCUUUUUUUUGAGAUGAUGUGAAUGUGUGUAUGACAUGCUCUCUCUCCUAUAGGCGAUUUCUUGUUCUUCAUGAAUCCUAACUUUUUCUUCGUGAUCAGAACUCCGCAGUUAAGCGUGCUUGGGCGAGAGUAGUACUAGGAUGGGUGACCCCCUGGGAAGUCCUCGUGUUGCAACCCC